AUGGCGGAGGAACCGUCCGCCAAGCGUCUCCCUGGCGAGACGUCGAACAAGAGUAGCAACCUCGUCGACAUUCACGUCCCCGGCAAGAAGCGCGAGUACACCAGAACGCUCAAAGGGGUUGAGCUCCACGACAAGGAGACGCUGGAGAUCGUCUGCACUAGCGUACCACACAAGGCUAACGAGGUGAUGAGCAGGCUCAGGACGAAGGGCGGCGGCUUGUAUCCGAGCUUCAUCGGAGUUGAUGUGGAGUACACCAACGAAAAAUAA
rnacentral:rRNA from 1 species